AUGCUCACUUUGGCAUCACAUAUACUAACACUGGAAUGAUACAGAGAAGAUUAGCAUGGUCCCUGCACAAGGAUGACAUGUAAAUUCAUUGAGCAUGCUGUAUUUUUU
rnacentral:snRNA from 1 species